rnacentral:rRNA from 1 species
UGCGGUAAUUUGACCGUGCAAAGGUAGCGUAAUCAGUAGUCUUUUAAUUGAAGGCUUGUAUGAACGGUUGGAUGAAAGAAUAGCUGUCUCUAAAAUAAUUUAGAACUUGACUUUUAAGUGAAAAGGCUUAGAUUUAAUAAGGGGACGAUAAGACCCUAUAAAACUUUAUAAAUGAAUUAUGUAAUCUCUAAAUUAUAUUAAAAUGUUGAUAAGUAUUUUAUUUAUUUCGUUGGGGCGACGUUGAUAUAAUUUGUAACUGUCUAAAUGAAUAAUAUAAUCGUCAUUAUACUUUGAUCCUUCUUUGUGGAUUAUAAGACUAAGUUACUUUAGGGAUAACAGCGUAAUUUUCUCAGAGAGUUCUUAUCGAAGAGAUUAGUUGCGACCUCGAUGUUGAAUUAA